rnacentral:rRNA from 1 species
GACGAACGCUGGCGGCGUGCUUAACACAUGCAAGUCGAACGGAAAGGCCCUGCUUUUGUGGGGUGCUCGAGUGGCGAACGGGUGAGUAACACGUGAGUAACCUGCCCUUGACUUUGGGAUAACUUCAGGAAACUGGGGCUAAUACCGGAUAGGAGCUCCUGCUGCAUGGUGGGGGUUGGAAAGUUUCGGCGGUUGGGGAUGGACUCGCGGCUUAUCAGCUUGUUGGUGGGGUAGUGGCUUACCAAGGCUUUGACGGGUAGCCGGCCUGAGAGGGUGACCGGCAACAUGGGGACUGAGAUACGGCCCAGACUCCUAGGGGAGGCAGAAGGGGGGAAUAUGGCAAAAGGGGCGGAAGCCUGAUGCAGCAACCCCGCGUGCGGGAUGACGGCCUUCGGGUUGUAAACCGUUUUCGCCUGUGACGAAGGGUGAGUGAGGUGAAUGGGUAAAGAAGCACCGGCUAACUAGGUG